CAGAUGCUUAACCAACUGAACUACCCAGGCGUCCCUCUAAGUGUUAAAUUUUUAUGUUAAAUUUAGAGUAGCCUUCCUAGUGAUCUUGGAUGUUCCACCUUCAUCAGAAUACAUUUCUCUAAGCUUUGCUUUGACUCCAUGAACUGGAUGAAAACUGAACCAGUAUUGGAAUUAACAAAACUGACAGUUAAUUUUAUGUGUCACCUUGGCUGGGCCACAAUACCCAGAUAUCUGAACAAACAUUAUUCUGACUGUUUCUGUAAAGGUGUGUUUUUGGGUGAGAUUAACAUUUAAAUCAGUGGACUUUGGCUACAGCAGAUUACCCUCCACAAUGUGGACGGGCCUCCUCCAAUCAUUUGAAGGCCUGAAUAGAGCAAAGGCUGACCUCCGCUAAGCAAGGAGGAAUUUUGCCAGCAGACCGCCUUCGGACUGGAACUGCAACUCCUCCGGCAGUGUCCAGCCAGCCGGCCUCCCCCAUCAGAUUUUGGACUCGUCAAGCCUCCACAAACGUGGCUGAAACAAAAGGAAGACUGGAGGUUACUUGCCCUGCCUUCUCCAAUGGAAACUCAAUGUGCAUGUGCUCUGCAUAAACCGCUUUUUUGGCAAAGGCCCCAGAUGGAGCCGCCUCUGUCAGCGAUGCCACAGCAGCAAACUGAAACUCAGCAACGUCUAUACCCAGUGUGAGAGUCGAACCCACAACCUCACAACCCACAAAGAACAAGAGUCACACACUUCACAAACUGAGCCAGACAGGAAUCCCUUAACUUUUAUGUCCUUACUCAGUUCCUAAACUAUAAAGACCUUGCAACUAUAAAAAUCUUGAUAAACUAUGUUUUAUUUUUUAUGUUACAUGUAAGCUCUAGUAUAACAAAUGAAAUAAACUUCUAGUAUAUACUUUUACCAAGAAAAAGAAGUGAAUGGAUGAUGUCUCAAAUGGACAAAUCAAGAAAUAAUAAUAUGCAUAUAAUAUUAUUUGGAAAUAUCACAGUAAAUACAGUCAAGAUUAGCUUAAACAUUUUGAAAAUGGUUCUCAUUUUCAGCCCUCAUAAACACAUAUUUACUUUACAAACUCAACAAACAAGGGAAGCCUUUUCUUAAAUGAAGUUUAUAAACCUUUAUAUAUAUAUUUACCAUCACACUCCACUUUCUUAUUCUGACUCUUAUUUUCAAAAAAGUAUUUUUUUAAUGUGUGCAGAAAUGUUUCCUUUUAACUUUUUAAUUUUUAUAUAAUCUUUACCCCAAUGUGGGGCUCAAACUUACAACCCUGAGAUCACCA